rnacentral:rRNA from 1 species
GACGAACGCUGGCGGCGUGCUUAACACAUGCAAGUCGAACGGAAAGGCCCCUUUGGGGGUCCUCGAGUGGCGAACGGGUGCGUAACACGGGAGUAACCUUCCCUUUAUUUCUGGAUAACUUGAGGAAACUGGGGCUAAUACCGGAUAGGAAUCCUUGCUCCAUGGUGGGGGUUGGAAAGCUUCUGCGGUUUUGGCUGGACUCGCGGCUUAUAGGCUUGUUGGUGGGGUAGUGGCUUACCAAGGCUUUGACGGGUAGCCGGCCUGAGAGGGUGACCGGCCACACUGGGACUGAGAGACGGCCCCGACUCCGACUGGAGGAAGCAGGGGGGAAUCUUGCACCAUGGGCGGCAGGCUGAUGCAGCAAGGCCGCGUGCGGGAUGACGGUCUUCGGGUUGUAAAACGCUUUCAGCAGGGGCGAAGCUUGUGGUGACGGUACCUGAAGAAGAAGCACCGGCUAACUACGUG